rnacentral:rRNA from 1 species
GACAGAGGGGGCAAGCGUUGCUCGGAAUUACUGGGCGUAAAGGGCGCGUAGGCGGGAUGGUAAGUCGGUCGUGAAAUCCCUCGGCUCAACCGAGGAACGUCGAUCGAUACUACCGUUCUUGAGGAUUGCAGAGGAGACUGGAAUUCCCGGUGUAGCGGUGAAAUGUGUAGAGAUCGGGAGGAGCACCAGUGGCGAAGGCGGCUCACUGGUCCGGUACUGACGCUGAGGUGCGAAAGCGUGGGGAGCAAACAGG